ensembl:lncRNA
CGUCAUCCUCCAAUCAGAUGAUGGAGAUAUAUAUGAAGUCAUCCUCCAAUCAGAUGAUGGAGAUAUAUAUGACGUCAUCCUCCAAUCAGAUGAUGGAGAUAUAUAUGACGUCAUCCUCCAAUCAGAUGAUGGAGAUAUAUAUGACGUCAUCCUCCAAUCAGAUGAUGGAGAUAUAUAUGACGUCAUCCUCCAAUCAGAUGAUGGAGAUACGCGGAACUAUUCAACGCUGUCACGAAACACUUCGUCAAACAUUUGCCUUCGCUCUUAAAACCUGGUAUUUUUUUCUCCUUCCACUUUAUCUGUUCAGGUAUUUUUCCAUUUAGCUUUAGACAUUUUGUUCACAAGACUAACUACAGGCAGGAAAAAGGUUAGCGUGUUGGCUACAAAUCAUUCAUCUGGCAAGACAUUAGAAUAAUCAGAAGGCAUAGACAAAAGUACAUAACAAUCAUCGACCACAUUGUCCAUCUCUACAGAGCACAUUAUCCAUCUCUACAGAGCACAUUAUCCAUCUCUAUAGAACACAUUAUCCAUCUCUACAGAGCACAUUAUCCAUCUCUAUAGAACACAUUAUCCAUCUCUACAGAGCACAUUAUCCAUCUCUACAGAGCACAUUAUCCAUCUCUACAGAGCACAUUAUCCAUCUCUAUAGAACACAUUAUCCAUCUCUACAGAGCACAUUAUCCAUCUCUACAGAGCACAUUAUCCAUCUCUACAGAGCACAUUAUCCAUCUCUAUAGAGCACAUUAUCCAUCUCUACAGAGCACAUUAUCCAUCUCUAUAGAGCACAUUAUCCAUCUCUAUAGAGCACAUUAUCCAUCUCUACAGAGCACAUUAUCCAUCUCUAUAGAACACAUUAUCCAUCUCUACAGAGCACAUUAUCCAUCUCUAUAGAACACAUUAUCCAUCUCUACAGAACACAUUAUCCAGCUCUAUAGUAGCUGUGUCCAGCUGUCAUCUGUACAGCCGUUUCCAACACACCUAGUCUGUGUCCAAAUGGCACCCUAUUCUCUACGUAGUGCACUACUUUUGAAGAGGGCCAAUAGGGCUCUGGUCUAAAGUAGUGCACUAUGUAGGGAAUAUGGAGCCAUUUUGGAUGCUCCGCAACAACCCCAUGAUGGUAUUGAGGACAUUCACUACAGUAUCUAUUCUCUUCUGAUUCAAAACCAACCAACCAGCGUUCCAGUUUGCUUCAAACAAAGAAGAAGGGUGAACCACCCCACCCAACCCAGGCACAACCCAGGCUUAGGCACAACCCAGGCUCAGAUACAGCUGAUGUUCACAUACCCCAGCCAACCCAGGCUCAGGUACAACCCGGUCUCAGGUACAACCCGGUCUCAGGUACAACCCAGUCUCAGGUACAACCAGGUCUCAGGUACAACCCAGGCUCAGAUACAGCUGAUGUUCACAUACCCCAGACAACACAGUCUCAGGUACAACCCAGUCUCAGGUACAACCCAGUCUCAGGUACAACCCAGUCUCAGGUACAACCCAGUCUCAGGUACAACCCAGUCUCAGGUACAACCCGGUCUCAGGUACAACCCAGUCUCAGGUACAACCCAGUCUCAGGUACAACCCAGGCUCAGACACAGCUGAUGUUCACAUAUUACCUUGUUUUUAUUUCCCCUGUUGUCUGUCCUCCUCAGAAGGAGAGAUUGAGUUUCACAGACAAAGUACCCAACCUCUGGUUCUGGUAUGGAAUCAGCUUCAUCGUCACAGUAACUACAACUGUUAUUAUUAUUAUGAUUAUAUACCAGUUUCACUCUAUGUUGUUAUUGGCCUAUGGCAAAUAGGCUGUUUGGUGUUUAGCCUCGGACAUGCGUCCUAAAAGGCACCCUAUUCCCUAUAUACAGUGCACUACUUUUGACCCGGGCCUGUAUAUAGUGUACUAGUGUCUGGGCCCUUGUAGUGCACUACAUAGGGAAUAGGGUGCCAUUUGGGACAUACCUUGGUUAUUGUACUGGGCACAAGAUACAGAAAGACAACGGUAUCUGGUGUAGUAGUUGUUGUUAGUGAAGCUGGCUGCCGUGGCUGGACAGGAGCACCCGGUGGAACAACAGCUAGCCCACCGUUGCUGUUCUCCUCUUGUUACCCUUGAUGUGGGUCGUGGCUUUGGGGUGGACGUAUUGGGGAGUCUUAAAUGUUUCCUCAGCUAGUCUCUACCUGGGUGAAAGUUUGUGACCAUGUACUGUGUAUUC